rnacentral:tRNA from 1 species
GCCAUAGCUCAGUUGGUAGAGCAAAGUACUGAAAAUCCUUGUGUCCCCGGUUCGAUUCCUGGUGGCACCA